AUGGGCAACUUGUGUUUAAUCAAUUGGGUUUGGGUGGAGGGUGCAACCCCCUUCGUGGUUUUCUGCAUCAGCAGAAUUGGAAGUGACCACAAGAUUGAUACAAUACCUUGGAGAUCUGUUGCUUCUCCCAAACAGCUGCCCUACAAGCACACUCACAUAGGGAGCUCCUCUCUUGGUUUUGCGAGUGUUGAUAAGCUUUUAAUUACGACCAUUUCAGAGCAAGGGUGUUACACUGAUGCUAGAUCAUCUAAGCAGCAAAGAAUGGGAGACUGCUUUGCAAAGUCUGUUUCCACUCAAUGA
rnacentral:lncRNA from 1 species